rnacentral:misc_RNA from 1 species
GAUGAAGAACGCAGCGAAAUGCGAUAAGUAAUGUGAAUUGCAGAAUUCAGUGAAUCAUCGAAUCUUUGAACGCACAUUGCGCCCGCCAGCAUUCUGGCGGGCAUGCCUGUUCGAGCGUCAUUUCAACCCUCGAGCCCCCCCGGGGGCCUCGGUGUUGGGGGACGGCACACCAGCCGCCCCCGAAAUGCAGUGGCGACCCCGCCGCAGCCUCCCCUGCGUAGUAGCACACACCUCGCACCGGAGCGCGGAGGCGGUCACGCCGUAAAACGCCCAACUUUCUUAGAGUCGACCUCGGAUCAGGUAGGAAUACCCGCUGAACUUAAGCAUAUCAAUAAGCGGAGGA